rnacentral:rRNA from 1 species
GACGAACGCUGGCGGCGUGCCUAAUACAUGCAAGUAGAACGCUGAAGCUUGGUGCUUGCACCGAGCGGAUGAGUUGCGAACGGGUGAGUAACGCGUAGGUAACCUGCCUGGUAGCGGGGGAUAACUAUUGGAAACGAUAGCUAAUACCGCAUAACAGUAGAUAUCGCAUGAUAUGUGCUUGAAAGGUGCAAUUGCAUCACUACCAGAUGGACCUGCGUUGUAUUAGCUAGUUGGUGAGGUAACGGCUCACCAAGGCAACGAUACAUAGCCGACCUGAGAGGGUGAUCGGCCACACUGGGACUGAGACACGGCCCAGACUCCUACGGGAGGCAGCAGUAGGGGAUCUUCGGCAAUGGACGGAAGUCUGACCGAGCAACGCCGCGUGAGUGAAGAAGGUUUUCGGAUCGUAAAGCUCUGUUGUAAGAGAAGAACGAGUGUGAGAGUGGAAAGUUCACACUGUGACGGUAUCUUACCAGAAAGGGACGGCUAACUACGUGCCAGCAGCCGCGGUAAUACGUAGGUCCCGAGCGUUGUCCGGAUUUAUUGGGCGUAAAGCGAGCGCAGGCGGUUAGAUAAGUCUGAAGUUAAAGGCUGUGGCUUAACCAUAGUACGCUUUGGAAGCUGUUUAACUUGAGUGCAAGAGGGGAGAGUGGAAUUCCAUGUGUAGCGGUGAAAUGCGUAGAUAUAUGGAGGAACACCGGUGGCGAAAGCGGCUCUCUGGCUUGUAACUGACGCUGAGGCUCGAAAGCGUGGGGAGCAAACAGG